rnacentral:rRNA from 1 species
UACGUAGGGGGCAAGCGUUGUCCGGAUUUAUUGGGCGUAAAGAGCGUGUAGGCGCCAGGUAGGUCCGUUGUGAAAACUCGAGGCUCAACCUCGAGACGUCGGCGGAAACCCUCUGGCUAGAGUCCGGAAGAGGAGAGUGGAAUUCCUGGUGUAGCGGUGAAAUGCGCAGAUAAUCAGGAAGAACACCCGUGGCGAAGGCGGCCCUCCUGGGACG